GGGUGUGAGGGCGACCUGGCUGCGAGUUCCAUCACCCCACCGAUGGCCAGGGUUGAUUCGGCGAUCUGAUGGGUGUCCCUUCCGCUCUGCCCAGCCUGCGUGUCUCUCAGAGCUGCGCCCUCAGGCUCGGGCGAAGAGGACGAGCACCUGCCGUGGAGGAGGACCGCGUGGCCAAGAGCGCAGGAGCAGCCGCUCCCCUGCCAGGACCCGCGCACACGCUCUCAAGGACCGCGUGGCCAAGAGCUCAGGAGCAGCCGCU
rnacentral:snRNA from 1 species